GAGUUUGAUCCUGGCUCAGGAUGAACGCUGGCGGCGUGCUUAACACAUGCAAGUCGAACGAAGAUGCCGGAGUGCUUGCACUUUGGCAGACUGAGUGGCGGACGGGUGAGUAACGCGUGAGGAACCUGCCUCAAAGAGGGGGACAACAGUUGGAAACGACUGCUAAUACCGCAUAAGCCCACGGGUCGGCAUCGACCAGAGGGAAAAGGAGCAAUCCGCUUUGAGAUGGCCUCGCGUCCGAUUAGCUAGUUGGUGAGGUAAUGGCCCACCAAGGCGACGAUCGGUAGCCGGACUGAGAGGUUGAACGGCCACAUUGGGACUGAGACACGGCCCAGACUCCUACGGGAGGCAGCAGUGGGGAAUAUUGCACAAUGGGGGAAACCCUGAUGCAGCGACGCCGCGUGGAGGAAGAAGGUCUUCGGAUUGUAAACUCCUGUUGUUGAGGAAGAUAAUGACGGUACUCAACAAGGAAGUGACGGCUAACUACGUGCCAGCCGCCGCGGUAAUUC
rnacentral:rRNA from 1 species